UACGAAGGGUGCAAGCGUUAAUCGGAAUUACUGGGCGUAAAGGGUGCGUAGGCGGUUCGUUAAGUCUGUCGUGAAAUCCCCGGGCUCAACCUGGGAAUGGCGAUGGAUACUGGCGAGCUAGAGCGUGUCAGAGGAUGGUGGAAUUCCCGGUGUAGCGGUGAAAUGCGUAGAGAUCGGGAGGAACAUCAGUGGCGAAGGCGGCCAUCUGGGACAACACUGACGCUGAGGUGCGAAAGCGUGGGGAGCAAACAGG
rnacentral:rRNA from 1 species